UGAGGAAUAUUGGUCAAUGGCCGAGAGGCUGAACCAGCCAAGCCGCGUGAGGGAUGAAGGUGCUAAGCAUUGUAAACCUCUUUUGUCGGGGAACAAAAGGUCCCUUGCGAGGGAUUGUGAGUGUACCCGAAGAAAAAGCAUCGGCUAACUCCGUGCCAGCAGCCGCGGUAAUACGGAGGAUGCGAGCGUUAUCCGGAUUUAUUGGGUUUAAAGGGUGCGUAGGCGGCGAGUUAAGUCAGCGGUAAAAGCCCGGGGCUCAACCCCGGCGAGCCGUUGAAACUGGCUUGCUCGAGUCGGUGAGAGGUAUGCGGAAUGCGCGGUGUAGCGGUGAAAUGCUUAGAUAUCGCGCAGAACUCCGAUUGCGAAGGCAGCAUACUGGUGCCGUACUGACGCUGAGGCACGAAAGCGUGGGGAUCGAACAGG
rnacentral:rRNA from 1 species